rnacentral:rRNA from 1 species
UCUUCUGCAUUAAUCGUAAUGGAUGAAAUCCCUUCGGGGACAGAAUGACAGGUGGUGCAUGGUUGUCGUCAGCUCGUGUCGUGAGAUGUUGGGUUAAGUCCCGCAACGAGCGCAACCCCUAUUAUUAGUUGCUAACAUUAAGUUGAGCACUCUAGUGAGACUGCCCGGGUUAACCGGGAGGAAGGUGGGGAUGACGUCAAAUCAUCAUGCCCCUUAUGUCUAGGGCUACACACGUGCUACAAUGGUGGGAACAAAGAGAUGCAAUACCGCGAGGUGGAGCUAAGCUCAAAACCCCAUCCCAGUUCGGAUUGUAGGCUGAAACUCGCCUACAUGAAGCUGGAGUUGCUAGUAAUCGCGAAUCAGAAUGUCGCGGUGAAUACGUUCCCGGGCCUUGUACACACCGCCCGUCACACCAUGAGAGUCGGCAACACCCGAAGCCCGUGAGGUAACCUUUUGGGACCAGCGGUCGAAGGUGGGGUUGAUAAU